AUUGAACGCUGGCGGCAUGCCUUACACAUGCAAGUCGAACGGCAGCGCGGGGCAACCUGGCGGCGAGUGGCGAACGGGUGAGUAAUAUAUCGGAACAUACCCUAGAGUGGGGGAUAACGUAGCGAAAGUUACGCUAAUACCGCAUACGAUCUAAGGAUGAAAGCGGGGGAUCUUCGGACCUCGCGCUCAUGGAGUGGCCGAUAUCUGAUUAGCUAGUUGGUAGGGUAAAAGCCUACCAAGGCGACGAUCAGUAGCUGGUUUGAGAGAACGACCAGCCACACUGGAACUGAGACACGGUCCAGACUCCUACGGGAGGCAGCAGUGGGGAAUUUUGGACAAUGGGGGCAACCCUGAUCCAGCAAUGCCGCGUGAGUGAAGAAGGCCCUCGGGUUGUAAAGCUCUUUUGUCAGGGAAGAAACGGUGUUUCCUAAUACGGAAUGCUAAUGACGGUACCUGAAGAAUAAGCACCGGCUAACUACGUGC
rnacentral:rRNA from 1 species